GAGAGAGGAGGGUGAGAGAAGUGAGGGGUAUUAUAUAGGAGACACACAAUGGAGAGAGGAGGGUGAGAGAAGUGAGGUUAUAUAUAGGAGACACGCAGUGGAUGAGUAGGAGGGCGAGAGAAGGGAAAGGGGGUAUAUAUAGGAGACAUUCAGCUGGAGAGAGGAGGGGGUGAGAGAAUGUGAGGGUUAUAUUAGGCAUACAUACAGUGGAUUGAGAGGAUGGUGAGAGAAGUGAGGGGUAUAUAUACGGACACACAGUGGAGAGAGAGGCGUGAGAGAAUGUGAGGGUAUAUAUAGGAGACAUACAGUGGAGGAUGAGACGGGGCGUGAGAAGUGAGGGGAUAUAUAUAGGAGACACGCCAAGUGGCAGAGAGGGGGUGAGGAGAAGUGAGGGUAAUAUAUAGGGACAACAGUGGAUAGAGGAGGGUGAGAGAAGUGCAGGGUAUAUAUAGGAGACACACAUGUGGAAGAGAGGAGGGUUGAGAGAAGUGAGGGCGGAUAUAUAGGCAGACACACAGUGGGAGAGGA